CCCUUAGAUGUCCUGGGCCGCACGCGCGCUACACUGAUACAUGCAACGAGUUUAUAACCUUGAUCUGACGGUCUGGGUAAUCUUCAAACUGUAUCGUGUUAGGGAUCGAUUCUUGCAAUUUUUAAUCGUAAACGAGGAAUUCCUAGUAAACGCAAGUCAUCAGCUUGCAUUGAUUACGUCCCUGCCCUUUGUACACACCGCCCGUCGACUCUACCGAUUGAAUGGUUCGGUGAAAACUUUGGACUGUGGCAUUGUCCUUCAUUGGACUUCGCCGUAGGAAAUUGUUUAAACCUCAUCAUUUAGAGGAAGAAUAAGUCGUAACA
rnacentral:rRNA from 1 species